rnacentral:lncRNA from 1 species
UCCCACUUUCCCGGGGUUUUUCCCACUUUUCCAACUGCAGGGGUCCCGGUGGGGGAGGGGCAGCCAUGGCCCCCAACGGCUCCGUGGGAUUUCGGGAUUCCCCCCCGGAGCCGGGAAUUUUCCUGGACGAGGAUUUGGGAUCCGACUGGUACAUCUACGAAUCCACGGAGUCCGCGCCCCACGAUGACCUUUUUCCCGACGCCAUCCCGGAAUGCCGCCCCACGCUCUCCCCCCAGCUGUACCACGCCGUCAUGGCUCCCCUUUCCCUGGCCGUGAUCCUGGCCUUGUCCUUCCUGGUCAAGCGCCGCCGGCUCCACCUGAGCUGCUGGAACGGCGUCCCGGGAUUGCUCAGGUAAGGAAUUCCCAAAAUCCUGCUGAUCCUGCCACCAAAGGGCUUGGAAUUCCCAAAAUCCCUUCCUUGGAGAGGGCUUGGAAUUCCCAAAUCCCGGGAAACUACUGGGAAUUCCCAAACCCCGCUGAUCAUUCCUUAGAAAGUACUUGGAAUUCCCCAAAUCCUCACUCUGGAAAGGUCUCAGAAUUCCCAAAAUCCCAUCCUUGGAAACAACUUGGAAUUCCCAAAAUCCCCUCCAUGGAAAGUGUUCUGAAUUCCCCAAACCCUGCUCAUUUCACCUGGAAAGGGCUCAGAAUUCCCAAAAUCCCAUCCCUAGAAAAGACCUGGAAUUCCCAAAGUCCCUCCCUGGGAAAACCUUGGAGGUCUGAAAAAUCCCAUCCUUGGAGAGGAAUUCCCAAAACCCAUCCUUGGAAACAACUCAGAAUUCCUGAAUCCCAUCCCUGCAAAAGGCUCAGAAUCCCCAAAAUCCCCUCUGUGGAAAGGGCUCAGAAUUCCCAAACCCUGCUGAUCCUUCCUUGGAAAGGGCUUGGAAUUCCAAAAUCCCCUUCAUGGAAAGGGCUCAGAAUUCCCAAAAUCCCCUCUGUGGAAAGGGCUUAGAAUUCCCAAAUUCCAUCCCCUGCAAAAGGCUCAGAAUUCCCAAAAUCCCCUCUGUGGAAAGGGCUCGGAAUUCCCAAAUCCCCUCCAUGGAAAGGGCACAGAAUUCCCAAAUUCCAUCCCCUGCAAAGGGCUCAGAAUUCCCAAAAUCCCCUCCAUGGAAAGGGCUCAGAAUUCCCAAACCCCACUGAUCCCAUUCCUGGGAAGGAGAAGGAAUUCCCAGAAUCCCAUCCCUGGGAAGAAGUGGGAAUUCACAAAACCCAAUUCCUGGGAAGAGAAGCAGGAAUUCCCAAAAUCCCAUUACUGGGAAGGGCUCAGAAUUCCCAAAGUG